rnacentral:rRNA from 1 species
GAGUUUGAUCGUGGCUCAGAUUGAACGCUGGCGGUAUGCUUAACACAUGCAAGUCGAACGGUAACAGGCUAGCUUGCUAGCGCUGACGAGUGGCGGACGGGUGCGUAACGCGUAGGAAUCUGCCUAUUAGUGGGGGACAACCUGGUGAAAACCAGGCUAAUACCGCAUACGCCUACGGGGAAAGGCAGGGGAGUCUUCGGACCUUGCGCUAAUAGAUGAGCCUGCGUUAGAUUAGCUUGUUGGUGAGGUAAUGGCUCACCAAGGCGACGAUCUAUAGCUGGUCUGAGAGGACGAUCAGCCACACUGGGACUGAGACACGGCCCAGACUCCUACGGGAGACAGCAGUGGGGAAUAUUGGACAAUGGGCGGAAGCCUGAUCCAGCAAUACCGCGUGUGUGAAGAAGGCCGUGAGGGUUGUAAAGCACUUUCAAUUGGGAGG